rnacentral:rRNA from 1 species
CAGUCGCCGCGGUAAUACGGAGGGGGCUAGCGUUGUUCGGAAUUACUGGGCGUAAAGCGCACGUAGGCGGCUUGGUAAGUUAGAGGUGAAAGCCUGGAGCUCAACUCCAGAAUUGCCUUUAAGACUGCCGAGCUAGCAGGUGAGAGAGGUAAGUGGAAUUCCGAGCGUAGAGGUGAAAUUCGUAGAUAUUCGGAAGAACACCAGUGGCGAAGGCGGCUUACUGGCUCAUACUGGACGCUGAGGUGCGAAAGCGUGGGGAGCAAACAGGAUUAGAUACCCCAGUAGUCCCUGUCUCUUAUAC